rnacentral:ncRNA from 2 species
UUGUAAGACACGGGGUGCCGCACACAGGCGGCUGAGAUCACACCCGUUGAACCUGAUCGAAUUAGUAUUCGCGGAGGAAUUGUCUGUGACUGACACA